rnacentral:rRNA from 1 species
AUCUCUGUAGAGUCUGCAUAUCAAUAAGCGGAGGAAAAGAAACUAACAAGGAUUCCCCUAGUAACGGCGAGUGAAGCGGGAAGAGCUCAAAUUUGAAAUCUUCAAGGUUUGACCUUGACGAAUUGUAGUUUAAAGGAGUGUUUUCGGUUAGAGGAGUAGUAAAAGUUCCUUGGAAUAGGACAUCAUAGAGGGUGAGAAUCCCGUAUUUGACUAUUCUUUCUAGCUUUGUGAUACACUCUUCAAAGAGUCGGAUUGUUUGGGAAUGCAGUCCAAAAUGGGUGGUAAAUUUCAUCUAAAGCUAAAUAUUGGCGAGAGACCGAUAGCGAACAAGUACCGUGAGGGAAAGAUGAAAAGAACUUUGAAAAGAGAGUUAAACAGUACGUGAAAUUGUCAAAAGGGAAGCGUUUGACACCAGUGUUGUUUUUCUGAAAAUCAAUUAAAGAACUGUUUAUGCUAAGUUGUUUAGACUUUAUCAGCUAACUGUUUAGUUUUGAGCUUUUCUUUAAUGCACUUUUUCAGUUAACAAGUCAACAUCAGUUUCUUUUGUUGUAAAAGGGUCAUUGGAAGGUGGCUUUCUUUUCGGAGAAAGUGUUUAUAGCCUUUGGCCUCUGCAAUCGGAGAGACUGAGGUCUGCAGCGUAGACUCUUCGGGGUUAGAUACAUUUGUGCUAAGUUAUAGCUUUUUAUAGACAACUUGUUGACUAUAAUUAGUCUUGUAGCUUACUCGCUUAUGCUAUUUUACCUACGCUUAGGAUGUUGAAGACUCUACAGAGAUA